rnacentral:rRNA from 1 species
GAGUUUGAUCAUGGCUCAGAUUGAACGCUGGCGGUAUGCUUAACACAUGCAAGUCGAACGGUAACAGGAGAGAGCUUGCUCUUUUGCUGACGAGUGGCGGACGGGUGAGUAAUGCGUAGGAAUCUGCCUAGUAGUGGGGGACAAUGUGUGGAAACGCACGCUAAUACCGCAUACGCCCUACGGGGAAAGCGGGGGAGUCUUCGGACCUCGCGCUAUUAGAUGAGCCUACGUUAGAUUAGCUAGUUGGUGGGGUAAAGGCCGUACCAAGGCGACGAUCUAUAGCUGGUCUGAGAGGAUGAUCAGCCACACUGGGACUGAGACACGGCCCAGACUCCUACGGGAGGCAGCAGUGGGGAAUAUUGGACAAUGGGCGAAAGCCUGAUCCAGCAAUACCGCGUGUGUGAAGAAGGCCUGAGGGUUGUAAAGCACUUUCAAUUGUG